ACGGAACGUUCGGAUAUGGUAGAGGCAUGGCCUUCAUAAGAUAAAUUGUGACGUCAAUCGCAAUUUAACCUGGUUCGAAUCCAGGCGUUCCGUAC
rnacentral:tRNA from 1 species